AGAGCAAAGAUUUCCCACUGCACAGCUGGUAUCACGCACUGAUCAGUCACUGGCUGGGCACUGCUGGGGAAGAGUGUUGCCUCAGCUCAAAAGCAGAAUCGGAUCCUGAAGGACCUAAUGACUAGAAACUUCCAGCUGACUACACUCUGCAACUGACUGAUGGCACAUUGCAUAAAGAAACGCGAACCCAGCAGCACUCCUGCCAGCGGCAAUUCUGAGUGCUCAUUUCCACUUUGCCAAGACAUUACAUGGGAAGGCAUGUGCGUUUAAGGGCAUCCAAUUGUUUCUGUAUCAGAACAGCAGCAACAUCCCGGGCAGGCCUUUCCUCUGGAGUUCACGUGUAGGUCGUACUGACACACAACAUGGCCUAAAUGGACCAUGGAGGAGGAAGGGACCCCAAAUCCAGGCCAAAUGGGAGCAGGGUUGUCCUCAGGAGGACCCCAGCUAGAAGACUUUCUCUGGAACCCACGGUGCCUCUCACUAAAGUGCCCCAACGUUGGCACAACACCUACCGAAUUGUUGUUGCUGACUCUCUAUGCCCAUGAUUCAACCAGAACAACAUUGAUUCGUUAAAAGGUGCAUGAAUAAACUUGACUCUGGAAACAACAA
rnacentral:lncRNA from 1 species